rnacentral:rRNA from 1 species
AUGAACAUCUUAGCCUGGAACUGUCGAGGACUGGGGUUGGACUCAACGGUUGGCGAAUUACGAGACCUGGUUAGGUCCUACAACCCAGCGGUGGUGUUCUUAUGUGAAACAGAGAAAAACGCGAGAGCGAUGGACAGGCUUAAAUGGAGUUUGGGAUUUAGAAAUGGGGUGGCUGUGGACUGCAAUGGAAGGGGUGGGGGCUUGGCCCUGUGGUGGAGAGACCAUGUUCAGGCUACUGUUAGGCCAUGGAGCCAAUAUUUCAUUGAUGCUGAGAUUGUGUGUGACGGCAAGACCUCUAGGAUCACUGGAUUUUAUGUGGAGCCAAACACAGAGCGAUGGAAGAAAUCUUGGGAGGCAAUACGGUAUCUGCGAGGACAGGAUGAUCUACCUUGGAUUUGUGUAGGUGAUUAUAAUGAAGCGUUAUUCCAGACCGACCAGAUUGAGGGUAACCAGAGGUGCUUCUCCGGAUGGAGGAUUUCAGAGACUGCCUAG